UACUGAGGCCUCGAGCGUUGCGCGGAAUUACUGGGCGUAAAGCGCACGCAGGCGGUCUGUCAAGUCGGAUGUGAAAUCCCCGGGCUCAACCUGGGAACUGCAUCCGAAACUGGCAGGCUAGAGUCUUGUAGAGGGGGGUAGAAUUCCAGGUGUAGCGGUGAAAUGCGUAGAGAUCUGGAGGAAUACCGAUGGCGAAGGCGGCCCCCUGGACAAAGACUGACGCUCAGGUGCGAAAGCGUGGGGAGCAAACAGG
rnacentral:misc_RNA from 1 species